rnacentral:rRNA from 1 species
AGCAGCCGCGGUAAUUCCAGCUCCAAUAGCGUAUAUUAAAGUUGUUGCAGUUAAAAGCUCGUAGUUGAAUUUCGGGAUCAGCAGGUCGGUCGUGCCACUGGUAUGCACUGGCCUUGCUGAUUCCUCCCUCUUGAUGAGCCGUAAUGCCAUUAAUUUGGUGUUGCGGGGAAUCAGGACUGUUACUUUGAAAAAAUUAGAGUGUUUAAAGCAGGCAUGCGCUUGAAUACAUUAGCAUGGAAUAAUGAAAUAGGACGUUCGAUCCUAUUUUGUUGGUUUCUAGGAUUGACGUAAUGAUUAAUAGGGAUAGUUGGGGGCAUUAGUAUUCAAUUGUCAGAGGUGAAAUUCUUGGAUUUAUUGAAGACUAACUACUGCGAAAGCAUUUGCCAAGGAUGUUUUCAUUAAUCAAGAACGAAAGUUAGGGGAUCGAAGACGAUCAGAUACCGUCGUAGUCUUAACCAUAAACUAUGCCGACUAGGGAUCGGAUGAUGUUAAUUUUUUAAUGACUCAUUCGGCGCCUUAC